rnacentral:rRNA from 1 species
AUGUCUGGGAAACUGCCUGAUGGAGGGGGAUAACUACUGGAAACGGUAGCUAAUACCGCAUAACGUCGCAAGACCAAAGAGGGGGACCUUCGGGCCUCUUGCCAUCAGAUGUGCCCAGAUGGGAUUAGCUAGUAGGUGGGGUAACGACUCACCUAGGCGACGAUCCCUAGCUGGUCUGAGAGGACGACCAGCCACACUGGAACUGAGACACGGUCCAGACUCCUACGGGAGGCAGCAUG